rnacentral:rRNA from 1 species
UGCUAAUACCGGAUAACAAUAGAUGAUGCCUAUCAACUGUUUAAAAGAUGGUUCUGCUAUCACUCUUGGAUGGACCUACGGUGCAUUAGCUAGUUGGUAGGGUAACGGCCUACCAAGGCGAUGAUGCAUAGCCGAGUUGAGAGACUGAUCGGCCACAUUGGGACUGAGACACGGCCCAAACUCCUACGGGAGGCAGCAGUA